CACUUGACUGCCCCGGGGUUCCUUCUCCCCACGUACCGUCGGUCUCAAAUUCCUAAAGCCAGGUGAUGGAAGAAUUUAUUCGUGGAGAGCUACGCCAAGCGCACCGUAUUCGGAAAAAAACAUGUGGUGAAGGGUUAGUGGGCAAUCAUGAUUGCUGCUGAUAUAAUUUAGGUGAGGUUUGCAAGAGCAUGAGUGAUGGAUGCGUUGAACCCCAAUGUAAGGAAACAGAAAUAAUAUCUGAAGAUUUUAAUUCCAGUUAUUACAUUUUAAUUUGAAAUGCACAUUUUACAGCAAUUAAAAAGCGAGCCAUCCAUCUAAA